GCUGGGUGUGGUGACUCAUGCCUGAAAUCCCAAAGACUUGGGAGUCUGAAGCAGGAGGAUCACGAGUUCAAGGCCAGCCUCAGCAAUUUAGUGAGGCCCUGAACAACUUAGUGAGACCCUCUCUCAA
rnacentral:sRNA from 1 species